rnacentral:rRNA from 1 species
GACGAACGCUGGCGGCGUGCUUAACACAUGCAAGUCGAACGGAAAGGCCCUGCUUUUGUGGGGUGCUCGAGUGGCGAACGGGUGAGUAACACGUGAGUAACCUGCCCUUGACUUUGGGAUAACUUCAGGAAACUGGGGCUAAUACCGGAUAGGAGCUCCUGCUGCAUGGUGGGGGUUGGAAAGUUUCGGCGGUUGGGGAUGGACUCGCGGCUUAUCAGCUUGUUGGUGGGGUAGUGGCUUACCAAGGCUUUGACGGGUAGCCGGCCUGAGAGGGUGACCGGCCACAUUGGGACUGAGAUACGGCCCAGACUCCUACGGGAGGCAGCAGUGGGGAAUAUUGCACAAUGGGCGGAAGCCUGAUGCAGCAACGCCGCGUGCGGGAUGACGGCCUUCGGGUUGUAAACCGCUUUCGCCUGUGACGAAGCGUGAGUGACGGUAAUGGGUAAAGAAGCACCGGCUAACUACGUGCCAGCAGCCGCGGUGAUACGUAGGGUGCGAGCGUUGUCCGGAUUUAUUGGGCGUAAAGGGCUCGUAGGUGGUUGAUCGCGUCGGAAGUGUAAUCUUGGGGCUUAACCCUGAGCGUGCUUUCGAUACGGGUUGACUUGAGGAAGGUAGGGGAGAAUGGAAUUCCUGGUGGAGCGGUGGAAUGCGCAGAUAUCAGGAGGAACACCAGUGGCGAAGGCGGUUCUCUGGGCCUUUCCUGACGCUGAGGAGCAAAAGCGUGGGGAGCGAACAGGCUUAGAUACCCUGGUAGUCCACGCUGUAAACGGUGGGUACUAGGUGUGGGGUCCAUUCCACGGGUUCCGUGCCGUAGCUAACGCUUUAAGUACCCCGCCUGGGGAGUACGGCCGCAAGGCUAAAACUCAAAGGAAUUGACGGGGCCCCGCACAAGCGGCGGAGCAUGCGGAUUAAUUCGAUGCAACGCGUAGAACCUUACCUGGGUUUGACAUGGAUCGGGAGUGCUCAGAGAUGGGUGUGCCUCUUUUGGGGUCGGUUCACAGGUGGUGCAUGGCUGUCGUCAGCUCGUGUCGUGAGAUGUUGGGUUUAGUCCCGCAACGAGCGCAACCCUUGUUCACUGUUGCCAGCACGUUAUGGUGGGGACUCAGUGGAGACCGCCGGGGUCAACUCGGAGGAAGGUGGGGAUGACGUCAAGUCAUCAUGCCCCUUAUGUCCAGGGCUUCACGCAUGCUACAAUGGCUGGUACAGAGAGUGGCGAGCCUGUGAGGGUGAGCGAAUCUCGGAAAGCCGGUCUCAGUUCGGAUUGGGGUCUGCAACUCGACCUCAUGAAGUCGGAGUCGCUAGUAAUCGCAGAUCAGCAACGCUGCGGUGAAUACGUUCCCGGG